GCCAGUGUGGCGCAACGGUCAGCGCAUCUGCCUGAUAAACAGAAGACCUGGGUUUGAAUCCCGGCACUGGUA